GAAAAUAUUAUUCUUUUGUUUCCUUUUCUGCCAUCAUUCUUUUUCAUGCAGGAUUGACAUGAGACUUGGUUUGAUUAUUCUCAGGAGAAGAGGCCAGUCUGCGGUUACAUUGUGCUCUGUAUCAGUGCCCGUGAAACCUCUGGAAGGAAAUGAAAGAUAUAUUUUUCAAGAACAUGGAAAGAAGAAGAUAGCUGUCACUGAUUAAAGCAAUACAACAAGGACAACAAAGCGCCUGUAAUUUUACCCGCAUGGAAAAGGAAUUCUCUGCAGAGACAUGCAAAGGUGAGAAAGAGUUCUACCUGCUCUUGCAACGUGCUCUGAAUAAAUAUCAUUAGAAAUGUGCAAAACAGGCUU
rnacentral:lncRNA from 1 species